rnacentral:tRNA from 1 species
GCCGGGGUGGCGGAAUGGUAGACGCGGCGGUCUCAAACACCGUUGAGCUAAAACUCGUGAGGGUUCGAGUCCCUCCCCCGGCACCA